rnacentral:rRNA from 1 species
CCUACGGGGUGCAGCAGUCGAGAAUCAUUCACAAUGGGGGAAACCCUGAUGGUGCGACGCCGCGUGGGGGAAUGAAGGUCUUCGGAUUGUAAACCCCUGUCAUGUGGGAGCAAAUUAAAAAGAUAGUACCACAAGAGGAAGAGACGGCUAACUCUGUGCCAGCAGCCGCGGUAAUACAGAGGUCUCAAGCGUUGUUCGGAAUCACUGGGCGUAAAGCGUGCGUAGGCUGUUUCGUAAGUCGUGUGUGAAAGGCGCGGGCUCAACCCGCGGACGGCACAUGGUACGGCGAGACUAGAGUAAGGGAGGGGGAACCGGAAUUCUCGGUGUAGCAGUGAAAUGCGUAGAUAUCGGGAGGAACACUCGUGGCGAAGGCGGGUUCCUGGACAGUAACUGACGCUGAGGCACGAAGGCCAGGGGAGCGAAAGGGAUUAGAUACCCGGGUAGUC